GACGAACGCUGGCGGCGUGCUUAACACAUGCAAGUCGAACGGAAAGGCUCCAGCUUGCUGGAGUGCUCGAGUGGCGAACGGGUGAGUAACACGUGGGCAAUCUGCCCUGCACUCUGGGAUAAGCCUGGGAAACUGGGUCUAAUACCGGAUAGGACCUUUCUCCUCAUGGGGUUUGGUGGAAAGUGUUUCGGUGCAGGAUGAGCCCGCGGCCUAUCAGCUUGUUGGUGGGGUAAUGGCCUACCAAGGCGACGGCGGGUAGCCGGCCUGAGAGGGUGAUCGGCCCCAUUGGGCCUGAGAUACGGCCCAGACUCCUACGGGAGGCAGCAGUGGGGAAUAUUGCACAAUGGGCGAAAGCCUGAUGCAGCGACGCCGCGUGAGGGAUGACGGCCUUCGGGUUGUAAACCUCUUUCAGUAGGGACGAAGCGCAAGUGACGGUACCUUCAGAAGAAGCACCGGCUAACUACGUG
rnacentral:rRNA from 1 species